rnacentral:rRNA from 1 species
AUUGAACGCUGGCGGCAGGCCUAACACAUGCAAGUCGAACGGUAACAGGAAGCAGCUUGCUGCUUCGCUGACGAGUGGCGGACGGGUGAGUAAUGUCUGGGAAGCUGCCUGAUGGAGGGGGAUAACUACUGGAAACGGUAGCUAAUACCGCAUAAUGUCGCAAGACCAAAGAGGGGGACCUUCGGGCCUCUUGCCAUCGGAUGUGCCCAGAUGGGAUUAGCGUGUUGGUGGGGUAACGGCUCACCAAGGCGACGAUCCCUAGCUGGUCUGAGAGGAUGACCAGCCACACUGGAACUGAGACACGGUCCAGACUCCUACGGGAGGCAGCAGUGGGGAAUAUUGCACAAUGGGCGCAAGCCUGAUGCAGCCAUGCCGCGUGUAUGAAGGAGGCCUUCGGGUUGUAAAGUACUUUCAGCGGGGAGGAAGGGAGUAAAGUUAAUACCUUUGCUCAUUGACGUUACCCGCAGAAGAAGCACCGGCUAACUCCGUG